rnacentral:lncRNA from 1 species
ACCAAGUACAGCAGAUCCAAUAUGCUUGAAGCUCAGAUGCCUCCUGACAGCAUGACUCAUUCAAGGUUUCUUAAAGUCGUAUGUUGAUGACAUCCUACUGGAAAAGCUAAGCCAAAAAAGAUGUAUUGAAGUACUGUGAGAAGGAAAACUACAUAAAAACACAUAAAUGAAAAUAUACUAUUACAAGCACACAGUCAGUCAGUGAAUCAGACUUGCUUGUCCUGCCUUACCAACAGAUGUUUUAGUUUCCUCAUGAACAUUGUCUUCAUACAACUUGAGAAUGACACAAACACCAACAUGAGUAUAACCAAAUAAGAAAACCUUAUGAGCUACCUAAUGU